GAGCCUAUGAUGAUUAAAUGUUGGAAUUACCGUCAGAUUCUCAAAUGAUGAUACUUUUGUCUGGCUUUCUGAGGCAUAAU
rnacentral:snoRNA from 1 species